rnacentral:rRNA from 1 species
CCAAUAGCGUAUAUUAAAGUUGUUGCAGUUAAAAAGCUCGUAGUUGAAUUUCAGGCCUGGCUGGACGGUCCGCCCUUCGGGUGAGUACUGUCUGUGGUCGGGUCCUACCUUCUGGCGAAGCGUCAUGGCCUUAACCGGCCGUGGCGGGGAACCAGGACUUUUACUGUGAAAAAAUUAGAGUGUUCAAAGCAGGCAAAUCGCUUGGAUACAUUAGCAUGGAAUAAUGGAAUAGGACAAUGGUUCUAUUUGUUGGUUUCUAGGACCGUUGUAAUGAUUAAUAGGGGUAGUUGGGGGCAUUAGUAUUCAAUUGUCAGAGGUGAAAUUCUUGGAUUUAUUGAAGACUAACUACUGCGAAAGCAUUUGCCAAGGAUGUUUUCAUUAAUCAAGAACGAAAGUUAGGGGAUCGAAGACGAUCAGAUACCGUCGUAGUCUUAACCAUAAACUAUGCCGACUAGGAAUCGGGCGAUGUUGACAAAAUGACGCGCUCGGCACCUCAUG